CCCGGAUUCAACCUCCAUCUGCGGGGACCGAAGGAGUCUUGCGGGGUUUCAGCAGCGCCGUCGCGGACACACUUUGCCAUGCAGGCCACUGGAUGCUGACUACUGAAGGUUAGGUUGUGUGUGACGGUGCUCAGCACAGCUUCAUGUCUGGCCUUCCCACUCUGUUCAUAGCAUGUUACAUAUUCAGGCUUGAGUACCAGGAUGGGACAGCAUGUACUUGGAGUCCAAUGAAAGAUAUUAAUCCAGAGAGUGGAACAAGAAGAAGCGUCAUCUAAAAUGCCAGGAUACAGAAGAAACAGGUUGCAGUGAACCCACAUGUCGCCGCUCUUCUAAACACAAUGAUGAAUAUUCAGUGUAAUCGAUGAAAAUUCCAGCUACUUGUUGUGCUCUGAUGGAUCAAGAUGGUGACCGUUUUACAGACUCACUUGGGCCUUGUUUUGCAAUGUUGUUUCAUGAUGGUAAUGUUGGUUAACGUGUUGUUUAAACAUGAAUGUUUAAAGAGCCAUGUUGGAUACUAUGAAGUUGUUACUGAAUAAAAUUAUUUAAUGUACAACAACGUACACAAUUUGUCUGUAAUGUAUUUUUGUAUCAAUUAAAAAAAAAUAAACACUGUAUAUCCAGUAUGCAAAACAUACUGGAUAUACAGUGAUUUAUGUAUUUCUUCUAAAUAAAGUAAAUUAAAAUCAAGCA